rnacentral:lncRNA from 1 species
AAAUUGGUUUAAAUCAUCCAAUUUCUUUCUAUUAAAAACAGUAACCGGGUAUCAUGCCAAUAACAAGGUUUUUUUACCGUCGUUCUUUGAUUCUUAGGUCCGAUUCUUGUUGUUUAAUUUCUUUCCCAAUAGCAUUAUCAUUGGUCAUAUAUAACAUUUUCAGUGAUUUGCCCUAAAUCUCCUUUGUUAGUUUGUUCUCAAAGACAAUGAGCGAUUCAAUUAUCUCGAGCUCAAUCCAAUUGUUAAAGAGUUUUCUCUUUUAUUCUGGGUAGUUGUGGUUUUUCUAAGACUCAUGUUAAGGUUGUUGUGCAUCUACACCUUAAAGACACGUUUAGUAAUAUGUUUUUGCAACAUCCCAGAAUCUUCUUUUUGUGUUUCUUCGAGAUCUUCUAGCUGACUCUUUAAGCAAAUUGACCAAUCUUUUUCUUUUUGAUUCUCUGAAAAAUUUUAUUGGACUCGCCUUUUCUUAUUUUGGUUUGCAAGUAGUGGUUAAAAGCUUGCAUAGGUAGCCAAGUACCUGUGUGGUGUUGGUGGGUAGUAUGUGAUGAAAUUGGUGACAAUUAUCGAAAAUUUGUAAUCUGUGAUAUAUCUUGUAUUUCUAGAUGUAUGUGGAGAUUUUAUCCCGUCAUUCAUAUCCACUCCAAGUGACCAAAGUUUUCUAAACUAUGAUGCUUGCGGGUGUCCACACAACUUCCCCGUGAAACCGAAAGCUACUAUCCAUUGUUCCAUCAUGUCAUCGAGUACCAAUUCCCAACACACCACCUUUGUACUUGAUGACAUGAUUGAAUGGUGGGUAGUAGUGUUCAAUUUCACGGCAAAAGCUGUGGGGACAGCCGCAAGCAUUUGGAGUGGAUGUGAGUGACGACAUAAAUUCUUCACAUCCAUCUAGAAUGAAAAGAUAUCACUGAUUGCCAAUAUUAGCAUUGACUCCACUAGUUUCAUCCUCAUACCACCCUACAACACACAUGUACUUCGCCGCCAACCCAAACUUUCAACCACAACUUGCAAACCAUAAUUUCGAAAAAAAAACUAGUCAAAUCAAAAGUUUAUGAGGAUAAAAAAGAAACAAUUCAGAAAUUUGCUUAAAGAAUCAGAUGGAAGAUCUUGAAGAAAUACAAAGAGACGAUUCUUGAAUUUUGUAAAGAUUUGAGGGUUGAUAAACGUGUGUUUAAGGUGUGGUGGAUCCACAACCACAAAAAACACGAGUCAAAUAAAACCACCAAGGAAAGGGAGGAUACUCUUGUACCUCUUAAUUAAGCCUGAUGAUGUUGAUUAUGGGUGGUAAAGUUUGUUCGUGUUGUCAUCCAAUUUGAAGCAACCAUCAAUAUUUAGCUUCUUCAUGUAGCAGAAGUUUGAUCCAAAGUUUGAGGAAUUGGAUUCGGUAAUGUGGGAUGUAUGCGAAACCCUACUGAGUAACUUAGUGUGGCUCCGGAGAAGAGUUGGUCGAACCCCUUUUUUUUACCACAUGCAUUGUUGCCUCAGAAUGUUAGCUCGUGGUGUUGUGUUCCGAACAUAGUUCCGUUCUCCUUUAGAGAUCUCUUGGAUCUCCACAACUCAAGCGGCUUGAAGGAAUAGGAAAAAGAAGCUUUCCACGGUAUCAUUAUCAUCGGUUGGAGUUUUUGGAAAGAGGAAUGGGCUAAACUUUUCGAACAAGCAGGUGAAGAUUGAAGACAUUAUUAGUGAAGUCAAAUCGGUUGGGUUUUUUUUUUGGUUUAAAAGUAGGUCCAAACACAAGUCUAUUUAUUGGGCGCAUUGAUGUAAAUUUAUAAUUAUGUUGUCGGUUCGUUUUGUUUGUUUGUUGCCCCUGUUUUGCGGGGUGGUGCUUGGGUGGUAAAUUCAUAAAAGAAUUAUCUUUAGUUUCCUUCUAAAAUGUGAAGUCGACUCAGGGUGAAGUAUAUGUGUGAGAAUUCUGGAUAA